UACGUAGGGUGCAGGCGUUAAUCGGAAUUACUGGGCGUAAAGCGUGCGCAGGCGGCUUCCUAAGUCAGAUGUGAAAUCCCCGGGCUCAACCUGGGAACUGCGUUUGAAACUGGGAGGCUAGAGUGCGGCAGAGGGGGGUGGAAUUCCACGUGUAGCAGUGAAAUGCGUAGAUAUUCGGAAGAACACCAGUGGCGAAGGCGGCUCACUGGCCCGGUACUGACGCUGAUGUGCGAAAGCGUGGGGAGCAAACAGG
rnacentral:rRNA from 1 species